rnacentral:rRNA from 1 species
UACGGGGGGGCAAGCGUUGUUCGGAAUUACUGGGCGUAAAGGGCUCGUAGGCGGCCAACUAAGUCAGACGUGAAAUCCCUCGGCUUAACCGGGGAACUGCGUCUGAUACUGGAUGGCUUGAGGUUGGGAGAGGGAUGCGGAAUUCCAGGUGUAGCGGUGAAAUGCGUAGAUAUCGAGAGGAACACCUGCGGCGAAGGCGGGUUGCUGGGCCGACACUGACGCUGAUGCGCGAAAGCCAGGGGAGCAAACGGG